rnacentral:rRNA from 1 species
GAUGAACGCUGGCGGCGUGCCUAAUACAUGCAAGUCGAGCGAACGGACGAGAAGCUUGCUUCUCUGUUGUUAGCGGCGGACGGGUGAGUAACACGUGGAUAACCUACCUAUAAGACUGGGAUAACUUCGGGAAACCGGAGCUAAUACCGGAUAAUAUUUUGAACCGCAUGGGUCAAUAGUAAAAGACGGUCUUGCUGUCACUUAUAGAUGGAUCCGCGCUGCAUUAGCUAGUUGGUAAGGUAACGGCUUACCAAGGCAACGAUGCAUAGCCGAACUGUGGGGGUGUUCGGCCACACUGGAACUGGGACACGGUCCAGGCUCCUACGGGAGGCAGCAGUAGGGAAUCUUCCGCAAUGGGCGAAAGCCUGACGGAGCAACGCCGCGUGAGUGAUGAAGGUCUUCGGAUCGUAAAGCUCUGUUAUGAGGGAAGAACAUAUGUGUAAGUAACUGUGCACAUCUUGACGGUACCUAAUCAGAAAGCCACGGCUAACUACGUG